rnacentral:misc_RNA from 1 species
UCCGGUUUAACACCGGCGGUCUCCUUAGAGUGCCCAACUGAAUGAUGGCAACUAAGGACAAGGGUUGCGCUCGUUAAGGGACUUAACCCGACAUCUCACGAUACGAGCUGACGACAGCCAUGCAGCACCUAAACCACAGGCCCCCGAAGGGGAAACCGUAUUUCUACGGCUGUCCUGUGUUGUCUAGCCCAGGUAAGGUUCUUCGCGUUGCAUCGAAUUAAACCACAUGCUCCACCGCUUGUGCGGGCCCCCGUCAAUUCCUUUGAGUUUUAAUCUUGCGACCGUACUUCCCAGGCGGGGUACUUAAUGCGUUAGCUGCGGCACUGUGGGGGUCAAUUCCCACAACACCUAGUACCCAUCGUUUACGGCGUGGACUAC